GUAGGUGGCAAGCGUUGUCCGGAAUUAUUGGGCGUAAAGCGCGCGCAGGCGGCUCUUUAAGUCUGAUGUGAAAGCCCACGGGCUCAACCGUGGAGGGUCAUUGGAAACUGGAGAACUUGAGUACAGAAGAGGAAAGCGGAAUUCCACGUGUAGCGGUGAAAUGCGUAGAGAUGUGGAGGAACACCAGUGGCGAAGGCGGCUUUCUGGUCUGUAACUGACGCUGAGGCGCGAAAGCGUGGGGAGCAAACAGGAUUAGAUACCCUGGUAGUCCACGCCGUAAACGAUGAGUGCUAAGUGUUAGGGGGUUUCCGCCCCUUAGUGCUGCGGCUAACGCAUUAAGCACUCCGCCUGGGGAGUACGGCCGCAAGGCUG
rnacentral:rRNA from 1 species